UCUUCCUUUGUAACCGCCAAC
ensembl:piRNA 21ur-5906 ncRNA